UGUCAGGGAAGUGUUGAGCUCUGAGGAAA
rnacentral:piRNA from 1 species